rnacentral:rRNA from 1 species
AUUGAACGCUGGCGGCGUGCCUAACACAUGCAAGUCGAGCGGUAACAGGUGUAGCAAUACAUGCUGACGAGCGGCGGACGGGUGAGUAACGCUUGGGAAUCUGCCUAUUAGUGGGGGACAACCCGGGGAAACGUCGGGCUAAUACCGCAUACGCUCUACGGAGGAAAGCCGGGGACCGCAAGGCCUGGCGCUAAUAGAUGAGCCCAAGUCGGAUUAGCUAGUUGGUAGGGUAANGGCCUACCAAGGCGACGAUCCAUAACUGGUCUGAGAGGACGGACCAGUCACACCGGAACUGAGACACGGUCCGGACUCCUACGGGAGGCAGCAGUGGGGAAUAUUGGACAAUGGGCGAAAGCCUGAUCCAGCGACGCCGCGUGGGUGAAGAAGGCCUGCGGGUUGUAAAGCCCUUUCAGUGGGGAAGAAAAGCCUCGACCUAACGCGUCGGGGUCUUGACGUAACCCAUAGAAGAAGCACCGGCUAACUCUGUGGCAGCCGCCGCAGUAAC